AUGGUGCUGAGCUGGGGGUGUCCCGGUGGGCGCCCUGCAGGGGCUGAGGAUCGAGCAGAGGUGGAGGCUGCGGGGUCUCCAUCCUUGGAGAGCCUCCGAAGCUCCUGGGCAGGGCGCUGGGUGGCCACGGGGGGGCUGGGCACGGGCGGCCCCUUCCCACCCGUGACAGUGCCUUUGGCAUCCCGGGGUGGGGAUGGCCAUGGUGGGGGUGAUGGUGAUGAUGGUCACGGUGGCCGUGGUGGUGGUGAUGAUGAUGAUGAUGGUGGUGGUGGUGAUGAUGGUCGUGGUGGUGAUGGCAGUGACGAUGGUGAUGAUGGUGGUGAUGGUUGUGGUGGUGCUGGUGCUGAUGGGGCUAGUGAUGGUGAUGAUGGUGGCCAUGGUGGCCAUGGGGUGGUGAUGAUGGCCAUGGUGAUGAUGGCCAUGGUGGUGAUGGUGAUGAUGGUGGUGAAGGCGAUGGUGAUGAUGGUGGCCAUGGUGGUGAUGGUGAUGAUGGUGGCUGUGGUGGCGGUGCUGAUGGUCGUGGUGAUGAUGGACAUGAUGAUGAUGGUGGUGGUGAUGAUGGUGGUGGUGGUGGUGAGGGUGAUGAUGGUGGCCGUGGUGGCCAUGGCGAUGAUGAUGGCCAUGAUGACGAUGGUGCUGGCGAUGGUGAUGAUGAUGAUGUUGAUGGUGCUGGUGAUGAUGAUGAUGACAUUGACACUGAUGAGACUGGUGCUGAUGGUACUGAUGGUGAUGUUGAUCAUGAUGACGGUGAUGAUGAUGAUGAUGACAUCGGUGAUAUUGGUGACGAUGAUACUGAUACCGGUGCCGAUGGUACCGGUGGUGAUGUUAAUAACGAUGGUGGUGAUGAUGAUGACGAUGAUGACGUUAAUGACAUCGAUGACGGUGAUAUUGAUGAUACCGGUGCCGAUGGUACCGAUGGUGAUGUUGAUAACGAUGGUGAUGAUGAUGACGAUGACAUCGAUAACGCUGGUCUUGAUGGCGAUGAUGACGGUGAUGAUGCUGAUGGAGGAGCAUCUCGUUGGCAGCGAGGGGCCCUCCACUGGCCCAACCCAUGGUGCCCCCGUCCGCUCCCGCGCCGCCAUCCCCCCAAAACUUCGCGUCUCGGCCGCCGGCCAGGUGCCGGGGGGGUGA
rnacentral:lncRNA from 1 species